rnacentral:rRNA from 1 species
UACAGAGGUCCCAAGCGUUGUUCGGAUUCAUUGGGCGUAAAGGGUGCGUAGGCGGCGCGGUAAGUCGGGUGUGAAAUCUCGGGGCUUAACUCCGAAACUGCAUUCGAUACUGCUGUGCUUGAGGACUGGAGAGGAGACUGGAAUUUACGGUGUAGCGGUGAAAUGCGUAGAUAUCGUAAGGAAGACCAGUGGCGAAGGCGGGUCUCUGGACAGUUCCUGACGCUGAGGCACGAAGGCCAGGGGAGCAAACGGG